UGUUUAUGGCUUUAUCUUAUAGAACUCAAGGUCCCCGUGCUGGGAAAACAGGUUUUGCAGCUGUUUGAGCUAAGAUUUCCAAGUUAUUCACAUAAUGAAAACCUAUACUUUGUUUCGGUCGAGUUCCCCAUUCAAAUGCAUGUAACAGUGAGAAACGCACUGUCUUGGCGAAAGAAAGCGUUUUUGUACAACUUCAUAUAAAUAGCUGUAACUUUUGAUAGAAGACUCGGAUACACAUGUUUAUGGCUUUAUCUUAUAGAACUCAAGGUCCCCGUGCUGGGAAAACAGGUUUUGCAGCUGUUUGAGCUAAGAUUUCCAAGUUAUUCACAUAAUGAAAACCUAUACUUUGUUUCGGUCGAGUUCCCCAUUCAAAUGCAUGUAACAGUGAGAAACG
ensembl:lncRNA